AGUGCACUAACCGAAGCGGUAAAAGAGAUACAGUAUCUGAACUGACAAACGGUAAACGAACGUUUUUGCCCACACGGCAAGCAUGACAAGUAUGUGCCGGACUAGGAACAGUAGAAAGACUAAAAGACCGAAGUAAACGAGAUAAAUUGGCGCGUCCAGGAUGCCCCAAGUGCUGGUGCCAGAGGUCGACGGUGCUGGUGUGCAGGCUGGUAGCUGAGGUGAUGGGCGUUGUCUUGGUGAACGGGUACAGUGCAUCAUCAGAAUCACAUCGGAGGAUAGCCCGGCGGGUACGACGAUCCUUAACAGAAAAACCAAGAUCAUCAAACUCUAUGGAAAUAGGAUUGUCACGGGUGAGUUUGCGAACAGAAGCCAGGUUCUUGAUGAGAGAUCGAGAAACUAAAAUGUCAUGAAAAUGAAGAGGAAUGGAGCUAGUUGGAAGAGAGAGAGAGAGAGACCGUGUGCGAAACGGCUAACGUGUUACCAUUACCAACAACUAUGCGCAAAUUUGCACAGGACGGAGAAGGGGCAGUGACCAUACCGGGGUGCGAUGCCAUGUGCGAGGUAGCGCCGGUGUCGGGUACCACUCCGGCUGAGGCUGAUGCGGCUG
rnacentral:lncRNA from 1 species